rnacentral:lncRNA from 1 species
GGAAAUCAGGGUUUUUCUCUUCUUUUUUUUUUUGUUUAAACCAAUCUGGUUUUACUUUUCAAGUUUGGAUAUAAACCCAAAUCGAAUCGAGAAACCAUACCAAACCACUCAGAGAUUCCGUUAUCCAUAUUUCCCCUGUUUUUCCAUUAAGAGAUAAGCUUGGUUUACUUGCAAAUUUCAAGAGGAGCACCACACAAACACUUGUUGUGAAAAUAGGAAUAAGAAUCAAAUGUCUGAAGUUUCCCUCCAGUUGGGAUGUGUCCACACAGUUUGUUGUAGCUAACAUUGAAGAACUGAAGAGGAGCUUCAGUCCACUGCACCGGAAUAUUCCCAGUGAUCCCAUUGUGGUUCAAGUCCAAGAUACCAAGUGUUUUAGGGAUAUCAACCUUUGAGAUAUCGAACUGGAACAUGUUUCUUGAUAAGUCAAUAGACCAGGUUGUUUUGUUGGAACCAAACAACAUCGAAGCAUCACCUUGGAGCUUGUUGCGGGAUAAAUCGAUCCGGUUAAAGUCGAUGUUGCCUAAUGAUUUGGGUAUUGGACCGGAGAGCUGGUUAUGUGAUAGGCGAAGGUCAGGGACUGUUCCUGGAAACGACCCAAAUGACUCUGGUAUGGAACCUACAACAUAAAGAUCGUUGUUUAGACAAGACACUGAAUGAUGUAAUAAAGGAAAAGAUCGUUCUUUACCUGUAAGUUUGUUCCUGCUAAGUUCAAGAGCCAAGAUUUUAGGUAACGUAGAGAGAGAACUUGGAAUGGAACCAGAGAGAUCAUUGAAGGAAAGUUCUAAGAACUCGAGAUUCUUGAGCUGACUUAUAAAGUCAGGAAUUGGACCUGUCAGAUUCGUCCAGCUGAGCCUGAGCAUUCGGAGGUUCUUGAGUUUGGCGAUGGUGGGUUGGAUUGUACCGGUGAGGUUAGAGAGUUUGCGGAAGACAAGGGUCUCAAGAUACGGCAAGUCACCGACUUCAGCCGGGAUCUGACCGGAGAUCUGGCCGGAGAAUAUGGUUAAGGCGGUAACACGGUGGUUAACGGUGGCGUCGCCGCACUCAAGGCAGUACCAGGAGCAACAGUCGGUUUGAGGGUCCCAUGAAGCGAGGUGAUAAGGGUUGUUUAGAGAUUUCUUGAUCUUGAGGAGGGUGUUUUUGUCAUUUUGGUUACAGAGAUCUUUAGACAAACAGGUCGUGAGGAAUGUGAACAAGAACAAGAGACACAAUGUCGCUGUCUUAUCCAUGGUGUUGGUUUUGAAUUUUGAUGGAAAGUGUUAGUGAUACAUAUACAUACUAUAUAGUGAGUGAUAUAGACUUAGAGAGACGGAUUCGAUUUGAUCUCUGUUUCCACAUGGACCGUAAUAAUAGUCAAUACAUAUCAUAUAGUCAAGAUGUCGGCGUUGAAUAUGUUUGGGUAAUG